CACCUCCUUCUCUUCAACGCCAAGCUUCUUCUCUCGAGCCACCUCGCGACACCGUCGACUUCAUCCUUCCCCUCUCCCUAGUCCGCGAGCCCUCACCCUCGCUGGCCUUCCUUCCCUUUCUCGAGUUCCCGCACCCCGCCGCUCUCUCUCCCUCACACGAGCACCACAGAUCACAGCCGCUGGUCUCUCCUCGCGCUGCACCAGAGACGCCGCGACGAGCCAACGGUCGACGCCGACCCCUCUUCUCCCCGAGCCGUGCCCUAACUGAUCCGGACGUUGAUUGAGACGGUUGACGUGACGGGGCGUGAUUUGGUUCAGUUUACGUAUAAAGGUAGCAGGUAGAUGAAUCAUGGAUGCUUGGAGAGUCCCGGCUACCAGUCUCACGUCACACUCGAGGAUAGUCUUCUUUUUGGUUUUGUUACUGAUUAGGUGGUAUGUUGAUUUUGCGUAUUUUGUUUUCCAAUAAAUUGAUGUGGAUUUUGAAGUCUAGUCUGGCGGUUGCAGGUAUUUUAGUUAGUGACUUUGUUGGUUUUACAUUCGUAUUAUUUUAUAAUUUUUCGUUGCGUUUACUUUCAGUCGUGUGGGCAAAUAUUAACUGUGUGGUUGUUUUAUUCAUUUAUGUCCAGCCGAGUAGGCUGCGUAUAUUAACUGCGUAGUUAUGUUGUUUCUAUUUUAUGUAUGUUCUAGCCGUGUGGGCUGAUGAGUAAGUUGUUUAUGUUUAUAUGUUGUGAUGUAUGUAUAU